rnacentral:rRNA from 1 species
AGGACGAACGCUGGCGGCGUGCUUAACACAUGCAAGUCGAGCGGAAAGGCCCUUCGGGGUACUCGAGCGGCGAACGGGUGAGUAACACGUGAGCAACCUGCCCCUGGCUCUGGGAUAGCCUCCGGAAACGGGGAUUAAUACCGGACAUUCACUUCCUUCCGCAUGGUUGGGGGUGGAAAGUUUUUUCGGCCGGGGAGGGGCUCGCGGCCUAUCAGCUUGUUGGCGGGGUAACGGCCCACCAAGGCGACGACGGGUAGCCGGCCUGAGAGGGCGACCGGCCACACUGGGACUGAGACACGGCCCAGACUCCUACGGGAGGCAGCAGUGGGGAAUAUUGCGCAAUGGGCGGAAGCCUGACGCAGCGACGCCGCGUGGGGGAUGAAGACCUUAGGGUUGUAAAGCUCUGUCGGAGGGAAGAACACAAUGACGGUACCCUCCAAGAAGCCCGGCUAACUACGCGCCAGCAGCCGC